rnacentral:rRNA from 1 species
AAGUCAGUAAGGGUUGUUUAAGACUAAGACGUAGAUAGGCAGGGUGUGUAAGUACCGUGAGGUAUUGAGCUAACCUGUACUAAUUACCCGAGAGGCUUAGCCAUACAAC